ACCACCGUUGUCUCCACCUGAGAAAGCCGCAAUCCUCUCAUGAUACUCCUCACAACCAUGCACUUAAGAAGCAAGUGCACCACCGUGCAUCCUAGCCGACUGCCUCCCUGGGAUUAUUGUCUCGUUGUCGCCACCGGUGACGAGAUAAGACAGGUGGCACUAGCUGGUUAGGGAUGUCUUCUCGGCGCUAUCACCAACCUGGCUGUCGAGGAGCCGCCAAACUCAUGUUGUUGAUCUGAUCGAUGCAACCGAAGCUCGAGUCAUCAAUGCCCAUACCACGUAUGCGAUGAACCACGCCGAGCACACGACACCUUGUAGCCAACACAUAGUCGGCAAGCUUUAAAUCUAGCGCAGCCCCCUUCCCAACCCGGAUCGAUCCCGUCGCCGCCAUCUGCAACUAAGGUCGUCGUCCUAGCCUCGAAGGUCCACCUUCGACGGCCAGAUUCAGGCGAGCAUGCUCAAAUACUCCGCCACCAGCCACCACGGGCAGCCACCGCACUACCCUUGCAACCACGGCGUUCGUCGCCGAAGCCGCUCGGAGCUAGUGACCUGGAGGGUGAGUCCCGCCAUACACGCUUGCCAUGUAGGUUCUGCAUGUCGUGUUGGCCAGGUGGCUAGGGGAGUCCCCUCUGAGUGUGGAGACGUGCCCACCGCCGCCGUCUAUUGGACGGACUUUGCCUGUCGGCCCCGUCCCGCGGUGACGAAAAGAGAGAAAGAGGAGAGAAUAGACCAGGGCAGCAGGAGCUAGGACUUCGUCAUGGCCAUGCCCUAGAGCGAUGUGGGUGUCCAUUUAUGUUGUACAGACUUUUGUUAAGACACGGGUUGGAGCAGACACAUCACAAACUCGUUGGUCAUGUGGAAAAUGCAUUUAGGUAUGGUGUUUACAAAAGGGCGGCCGGUCCAUAUUGGAGGAAUGCCCCUAUCGGCCGGGUCGUGGUCAUCCUGUACGCGCUGUUUCUCCAAAGAAGAAUUUGUCCUCUCCAAUCUGUUCGUUGCGUCCUGCUCCACGGCUCUGUUAGCUACCACUCCCCAUCGAAUGAGUGAGCAAGCACGCACCAGCCCAGGCACAAUGGUGGCCUCCUCGGUCGUCGCGCUGCGAGAAGGGAUUGGAUCGACAACACGGCUGCUUCCGUUCAAUUGCAGUUUUUUUGUCAAAGUCUUUGAAGUAUUUCAUCGAGCAGAAAUUGAUACCGCAAAGAAGGUGAUUUUAAGAGAUUUCAUUUUAAUUCUUAGUCAUAGGAGUUAUUUUGUAUUUUGUAUUUUUUAAAUCUUAGGUCCAAAUCAGUGUACCUGCAAUUGUUAUGAGUAUGAAUAAAGUUACAAGUGUUUCUAAAAAA